CGCCUCUUGCAAAAAUAACAAAUAAGAGGUCCCGCCUGCCCUGUGACUAUAUGUUUAACGGCCGCGGUAUUUUGACCGUGCAAAGGUAGCGCAAUCACUUGUCUUUUAAAUGGAGACCCGUAUGAAUGGCAUAACGAGGGCUUAACUGUCUCUUCUUUCAAGUCAAUGAAAUUGAUCUCCCCGUGCAGAAGCGGGGAUACGCACAUAAGACGAGAAGACCCUGUGGAGCUUUAGGCACCAAGGCAGAAUACGUUAAAUACCCCCCAUUAACGGUCUAAACAACCUAUACCCUGCCCUAAUGCCUUCGGUUGGGGCGACCAUGGGGAAAUAAAAAACCCCCACGUAGAAUGGGAAUACAACUCCUUCAACCUAGAGCCCCCGCUCUAAUCAACAGAACCUCUGACUUUACCAGAUCCGGCAAUGCCGAUUAACGGACCAAGUUACCCCAGGGAUAACAGCGCAAUCCCCUUCUAGAGCCCUUAUCGACAAGGGGGUUUACGACCUCGAUGUUGGAUCAGGACAUCCUAAUGGUGCAGCCGCUAUUAAGGGUUCGUUUGUUCAACGAUUAAAGUCCU
rnacentral:rRNA from 1 species